rnacentral:rRNA from 1 species
CGCAUGCAGGUGGUUUGUUAAGUCAGAUGUGAAAGCCCGGGGCUCAACCUCGGAAUUGCAUUUGAAACUGGCAAACUAGAGUACUGUAGAGGGGGUAGAAUUUCAGGUGUAGCGGUGAAAUGCGUAGAGAUCUGAAGGAAUACCGGUGGCGAAGGCGGCCCCCUGGACAGAUACUGACACUCAGAUGCGAAAGCGUGGGGAGCAAACAGGAUUAGAUACCCUGGUAG